rnacentral:rRNA from 1 species
GACGAACGCUGGCGGCGUGCUUAACACAUGCAAGUCGAGCGGUAAGGCCCUUUCGGGGGUACGACGAGCGGCGAACGGGUGAGUAACACGUGGGUGACCUGCCCUCAGCUCUGGGAUAAGCCUGGGAAACUGGGUCUAAUACCGGAUAUGACUCCAUGACGCAUGUUGUGGGGUGGAAAGCCUUGUGCGGCUGAGGAUGGGCCCGCGGCCUAUCAGCUUGUUGGUGGGGUGANGGCCUACCAAGGCGACGACGGGUAGCCGGCCUGAGAGGGCGACCGGCCACACUGGGACUGAGACACGGCCCAGACUCCUACGGGAGGCAGCAGUGGGGAAUCUUGCGCAAUGGGCGAGAGCCUGACGCAGCGACGCCGCGUGAGGGAUGA